GACGAACGCUGGCGGCGUGCCUAAUACAUGCAAGUUGAGCGAUGAAGCUUGGUGCUUGCACCAAUUUGAAGAGCAGCGAACGGGUGAGUAACGCGUGGGGAAUCUGCCUUUGAGCGGGGGACAACAUUUGGAAACGAAUGCUAAUACCGCAUAACAACUUUAAACAUAAGUUUUAAGUUUGAAAGAUGCAAUUGCAUCACUCAAAGAUGAUCCCGCGUUGUAUUAGCUAGUUGGUGAGGUAAAGGCUCACCAAGGCGAUGAUACAUAGCCGACCUGAGAGGGUGGUCGGCCACAUUGGGACUGUGACACGGCCCAAACUCCUACGGGAGGCAGCAGUAGGGAAUCUUCGGCAAUGGACGAAAGUCUGACCGAGCAACGCCGCGUGAGUGAAGAAGGUUUUCGGAUCGUAAAACUCUGUUGGUAGAGAAGAACGUUGGUGAGAGUGGAAAGCUCAGCAAGUGACGGUAACUACCCAGAAAGGGACGGCUAACUACGUG
rnacentral:rRNA from 1 species